GCUCGAAAGAGAACCUAGACACAGGUGCUGCAUGGCCGUCGUCAGCUCGUGUCGUGAGAUGUUGGGUUAAGUCCCGCAACGAGCGCAACCCUUGUCAUUAGUUGCUACGAAAGGGCACUCUAAUGAGACUGCCGGUGACAAACCGGAGGAAGGUGGGGAUGACGUCAGGUCCUCAUGGCCCUUAUGGGUAGGGCUACACACGUCAUACAAUGGCCGGUACAGAGGGCUGCCAACCCGCGAGGGGGAGCCAAUCCCAGAAAACCGGUCGUAGUCCGGAUCGCAGUCUGCAACUCGACUGCGUGAAGUCGGAAUCGCUAGUAAUCGCGGAUCAGCUUGCCGCGGUGAAUACGUUCCCGGGUCUUGUACACACCGCCCGUCACACCAUGGGAGCGGGUUCUGCCAGAAGUAGUUAGCCUAACCGCAAGGAGGGCGAUUACCACGGCAGGGUUCGUGACUGGGGUGAAGUCGUAACAAGGUAACCAAGGGCGAAUUCGCGGCCGCUAAA
rnacentral:rRNA from 1 species